rnacentral:rRNA from 1 species
GACGAACGCUGGCGGCGUGCUUAACACAUGCAAGUCGGACGGGAAAGACCGGCUACGGUGGUUUGCUCGAGGGGCGAACGAGUAAGUAGCAAGAAACUGACCUGCGCUGGAGUACAAGAGAACUUCACGACAGUUAAUAUAAUGCCGGCUAGGAGGUCCAGCGACGAAUCGGGGCGAGGAGAGGUUCGCCGCUGGCGGAUGGGCUGGCGGCUUAUUAGCUUGUUGGUGGGGUGGUGGCUUACCAGGGCUUUGACGGGUAGCGGGACUGAGGGGGUGACGGGCAACAUUGGGGCGGAGAUGAGGCCGCGACUCCUACGGGAGGAAGCAGUGGGGAAUAAUGCACAAUGGGGGGAAGACUGAUGCAGGAACGCCGCGGGGGGGAUGACGGCCGUCGGGUUGUAAACAGCUUUCGCCUGUGACGAAGCGUGAGUGACGGUAAUGGGUAAAGAAGCACCGGCUAACUACGUG